rnacentral:rRNA from 1 species
UCAGGACGAACGCUGGCGGCGUGCUUCAUACAUGCAAGUCGAACGAGAAUCUCACUUCGGUGAGAGGAAAGUGGCGGACGGGUGAGUAAUGUGUAGAGAAUCUGCCCUAGAGUGAGGGACAACAGAGGGAAACUUCUGCUAAUACCUCAUAUGCGCGUAGCUGAGAUGCUAUUCGUGAAAACUCCGGUGCUCUGGGAUGAGUCUGCAUCUGAUUAGCUAGUUGGGGGUGUAAUGGACCACCAAGGCGACGAUCAGUAGCUGGUUUGAGAGGAUGAUCAGCCACAAUGGGACUGAGACACGGCCCAUACUCCUACGGGAGGCAGCAGUAGGGAAUUUUGCGCAAUGGGGGAAACCCUGACGCAGCAACGCCGCGUGAACGAAAAAGCCCUUCGGGGUGUAAAGUUCUGUCAGUGGGGACGAAACUUGACGGUACCCACAGAGGAAGCAUCGGCUAACUCCGUGCCAGCAGCUGC